rnacentral:rRNA from 1 species
AGUGAACGCUGGCGGUAGGCCUAACACAUGCAAGUCGAACGGCAGCACAGGAGAGCUUGCUCUCUGUGUGGCGAGUGGCGGACGGGUGAGGAAUACAUCGGAAUCUGCCCAGUCGUGGGGACAACGUAGGGGAAAUUACGCUAAUAACGCAUAAGACCUUCGGGGGGAAGAGGGGGAUCGGAAGAACUCCCCGCAUUGGAUGAGCCGAUGUCGGAUUAGCUAGUUUGCGGGGUAAUGGCCCCCCAAGGCGACGAUCCGUAGCUGGUCUGAGAGGAUGAUCAGCCACACUGGAACUGAGACACGGUCCAGACUCCUACGGGAGGCAGCAGUGGGGAAUAUUGGACAAUGGGCGCAAGCCUGAUCCAGCCAUACCGCGUGGGUGAAGAAGGCCUUCGGGUUGUAAAGCCCUUUUGUUGGGAAAGAAAUCUUUCAGGCUAAUACCCUGGGAGGAUGACGGUACCCAAAGAAUAAGCACCGGCUAACUUCGUG